rnacentral:rRNA from 1 species
UGAGGAAUAUUGGUCAAUGGGCGAUAGCCUGAACCAGCCAAGUCGCGUGAGGGAAGACGGCCCUACGGGUUGUAAACCUCUUUUGCCGGGGAGCAAAGAAGCCACGAGUGACUUUUUGAGAGUACCCGGAGAAAAAGCAUCGGCUAACUCCGUGCCAGCAGCCGCGGUAAUACGGAGGAUGCGAGCGUUAUCCGGAUUUAUUGGGUUUAAAGGGUGCGUAGGCGGAGAGCCAAGUCAGCGGUAAAAUCGUGGGGCCCAACCCAUCCCGCCGUUGAAACUGGCUUCCUUGAGUGGAUGAGAAGUAUGCGGAAUGCGUGGUGUAGCGGUGAAAUGCGUAGAGAUCGGGAGGAACACCAGUGGCGAAGGCGGCCUACUGGGCUUUAACUGACGCUGAAGCACGAAAGCGUGGGUAGCAAACA